CUUAUAUCAAAUGGAAAUGUAGGAUGACAAGACAUAUACCUAUCAUUCACGAUGUUCACAUUAAUGGAAUUUAUUGUUGUCACGUGUAUUUGUUUAAUAACGACCAGUGGUCAAGAUGGUCGAUGUGACGGUCCGCUGAUGUGCUGUCGAGGAUUUAAAUACAUUGAAGAAGAAAAUAUAUGUUUGCCGUGUAAAUAUCCAACAUUUGGAUUAGGAUGCAGAGAAAACUGCACUUGUCCUAAGGUAAAUUGUCACAGGGUUAAUGGAUGUUAUAAAUCAGCUACUGAAAA